rnacentral:SRP_RNA from 1 species
CGCGGAGGAGGCCCGGGGGGCUACCCCUCCCCUGUAACCGCAAACGGGGGUCAUGGCGGGGGCCGCUAACCCCGAGGGAAGGCCUCCCUCUUCACGGCGGCCGCUGGAUAAGCGGCAGUGAAGUCCAGACCCACGGGGCCGUCAGAGGGCGGUGACCCGCCCGGAGGGGCGGGCUACGCCGCCCUAGCCGCCCGAACCGGGUCAGGCCCGGAAGGGAGCAGCCCUAAGGGCGGAUGGCGGCGUUCGUGGGCCGCCUGGGCGGAGCUGGCUGUCCAGCGCACCGCCGUGAAUGGAGGUCGACCCUGGGGGACGCUCCGCG